rnacentral:rRNA from 1 species
GCUAUCAUGCAGUCGAGCGACAGAUAAGGAGCUUGCUCCUUUGACGUUAGCGGCGGACCGGAGAGUAACACGUGGAUAACCUACCUAUAAGACUGGGAUAACUUCGGGAAACCGGAGCUAAUACCGGAUAAGAUUUUGAACCGCAUGGUUCAAUAGUGAAAGACGGCCUUGCUGUCACUUAUAGAUGGAUCCGCGCCGUAUUAGCUAGUUGGUAAGGUAACGGCUUACCAAGGCAACGAUACGUAGCCGACCUGAGAGGGUGAUCGGCCACACUGGAACUGAGACACGGUCCAGACUCCUACGGGAGGCAGCAGUAGGGAAUCUUCCGCAAUGGGCGAAAGCCUGACGGAGCAACGCCGCGUGAGUGAUGAAGGUCUUCGGAUCGUAAAACUCUGUUAUCAGGGAAGAACAAACGUGUAAGUAACUGUGCACGUCUUGACGGUACCUGAUCAGAAAGCCACGGCUAACUACGUGCCAGCAGCCGCGGUAAUACGUAGGUGGCAAGCGUUAUCCGGAAUUAUUGGGCGUAAAGCGCGCGUAGGCGGUUUUUUUAAGUCUGAUGUGAAAGCCCACGGCUCAACCGUGGAGGGUCAUUGGAAACUGGAAAACUUGAGUGCAGAAGAGGAAAGUGGAAUUCCAUGUGUAGCGGUGAAAUGCGCAGAGAUAUGGAGGAACACCAGUGGCGAAGGCGACUUUUCUGGUCUGUAACUGACGCUGAUGUGCGAAAGCGUGGGGAUCAAACAGGAUUAGAUACCCUUGGUUAGUCCACGCCGUAAACGAUGAGUGCUAAGUGUUAGGGGGG